rnacentral:rRNA from 1 species
GACGUAGGGGGCCAGCGUUGUUCGGAAUUACUGGGUGUAAAGGGUUCGUAGGCGGUGCGGCAAGUUGGGAGUGAAAUCUCUGGGCUUAACCCAGAGGCUGCUUCCGAAACUGCUGUGCUUGAGUGUGGGAGAGGCGCGUGGAAUUGCAGGUGUAGCGGUGAAAUGCGUAGAUAUCUGCAGGAACACCCGUGGCGAAAGCGGCGCGCUGGACCACAACUGACGCUGAGGCGCGAAAGCUAGGGGAGCAAACAGG